GAUGAACGCUGGCGGCGUGCUUAACACAUGCAAGUCGAACGGGCUCUUCGGAGCUAGUGGCGGACGGGUGAGUAACGCGUGAGAAUCUGCCUACAGGACGGGGACAACAGUUGGAAACGACUGCUAAUACCCGAUGUGCCGAGAGGUGAAACAUUUAUGGCCUGUAGAUGAGCUCGCGUCUGAUUAGCUAGUUGGUGGGGUAAGAGCCUACCAAGGCGACGAUCAGUAGCUGGUCUGAGAGGAUGAUCAGCCACACUGGGACUGAGACACGGCCCAGACUCCUACGGGAGGCAGCAGUGGGGAAUUUUCCGCAAUGGGCGCAAGCCUGACGGAGCAACGCCGCGUGGGGGAGGAAGGUUUUUGGACUGUAAACCCCUUUUCUCAGGGAAGAAGAAAGUGACGGUACCUGAGGAAUAAGCCUCGGCUAAUUCCGUGCCAGCCGCCGCUGUAACAC
rnacentral:rRNA from 1 species